rnacentral:miRNA from 1 species
CGCUGAGCUGCACCGCUCGGGCCGCCCGGCGGCAGGCGCGUCCUCGCUGUCCUGGGCCCUCCCGCCUCGGCCUGUCCCGGGGGGAGCGCAGGGUCCUGGGCUGUGUCCCCCGCGCCCUGGGCUCCGGGGCCUGCGCUGCUGGGA